GGAAAAGACACAGAGAGAGGAGGGUGGAGGAGGAGAAAGAAGGGUGAGUGGAGGUAGGUUGGCCGCACUUGAGGAGGGGCUAAGCCCUGCCGGACCGGGCCCUGCUACACCAGCGUUACCGCCUCCUGCACCUGAGGUCCCAGCGCCUGAGCAGCCUUCACCAUUGCUACCUCCACCUGCAGCACCGGCUGGCCAGCUGCCAACGGAUCCGGCUAAUCCUUUGCCCCCGGGUGCUGGUGGGGCGGCGGUCCCGGUCCGAGUCCUGAUGGGUGGCCAUUCCUUGGUCUUUUGGGCUUUCAAGCGGGCCAGCACCUCCCACUGGGGAUCCCAGCUGGGUUUUGGACGCAAAGCUUCAGUUUAUUGGUUGGGCAUGAGGGGCAUGCUCUGGAAUCAGUUGCUUCCAGCGUUAAGGAAUCAUUUAGACAGGUUUCCCUCUCCUGACAUUCUUGUUCUUCAUCUUGGGGAGAAUGAUCUAGGCCGGCGGCCUGGUCUCGCCAUCUUUCAGCAAGCCUCAUCGGAUUUGGCUAUUUUGCGCAGGUGGAUGCCUGGUGUAUACGUGAUUUGGAUUAAUUGGCUCCAACGCAGAGUUUGGCAUGGUGCUCACUCUGGUCUUAGUCUAGAGAGGGCACGCAGAAAAAUUUCAGCUGCAAUAGGCAGACUGGUGAUGGCAGCUGGGGGGUCGGUGGUUCGGCAGCCGGAUUUGGCUGCUCGCUUCCCCGAGCUCUUUCGCCCUGACGGGGUGCAUCUUUCCGAAAAAGGUUGUGAUUUAUAUUUACACAAUAUCCGUGAGGCUCUUGCUGAAAGUUUAGGCAAAUGUGGGGCAGGAAGGUCAAGCGAUGGCUAACCUUCCUGGGUGGCAGGAACAGUGCGGGCUGUGGGGUAAGGAGGUAUAGAUUUAGGUGAGCACCCUUGGGCAUUUUUAAGGUGGAUUGGUCAAUCGCUUCCAUGUGGCCUGUGCGGCACGGGAAGACUUUGAUUGCCAAGAAACCUGCUUCAGGGCUUCACCAACCUUUGGGCUGUGCAGUCCGAGGCGGUAAAGAUCCGAAGCUGUUCAGAUCCCCUCUUUAAAAGGGGGGGGUUGGCUUUGAAGGAAUUGGGCAGGAGCUGCCUGCCUCUUUCCUGAGCCAGGGUGUGUCGCCCUUGCGGGCAAUGGAUAGGACGU